UCUCACUGCAACCUGAGUGCCAGAGCUGUGAAGACUGCAGCAAAGUCCUCCAACUGCCACGAAAACGUUUCCUAAUUCACCACUUCCAGAAACCUGCCUGCUUCCCUGGCCACAGGGGUAGAUUGUAUCCUGGGCUAUUCCGAGGACAACACUUGCAACGGAAAAGAAUGAUGUGCCAGAGCCUACCAG